AUGACACGCUUCUCUGUGAUGACGAUGACUAUGACACGCUCCUCUGUGAAGACGACAACGACGAAUCGCUCCUCUUUGACGACAACGAUGACGACACGCUCCUCUGUUAUGACGAUGAUGCGCUCCUCUCUGACAACGACGCGCUCCUCUCUGACAACGACGACGACGCGCUCCUCUGUGACAACGAUGACGACGAUGCCCUCCUCUGUGAGGACGUCAAUGACAAUGCGCUCCUUUGAGAUGACGAUGGUGACGCACUCCUCUGUGACAACAACGACAACUCGCUCCUCUGUGACAAUGAUGACAAUGACGACGCACUCCUCUGUGACGACGAUGAUGGCAAAUCGCUCCUCUUUGACGACAAGUAUGACGACACGCUCCUCUCUGAUGACGAUGACGACGUGCUCCUCUCUGACGACAAUGACGACGAUGCACUCCUCUAUGACAAUGAUGAUGACGGCGCCCUCCUCUGUGAGGACAUCAAUGACGAUGCGCUCCUUUGAGAUGACGAUGACAACGCACUCCUCUAUGACAACGACAACUCACUCCUCUGUGACAACGAUAACGAUGACAACACACUCCUCUGUGACGGUGACCUCCUCUGCGAUGACGACGACGACGACAACUCACUCCUCUGUGACAACGAUAACGAUGACAACACACUCCUCUGUGACGGUGACCUCCUCUGCGAUGACGACGACGACGACAACUCACUCCUCUGUGACAACAAAGUCAACGAUGACUCGCUCCUCUCUGACGAUGACGACAAUGACGACGCCCUCCUCUCUGAUGACGAUGACAACGACGUGCUCCUCUGUGAUGAUAAUGAUGACGACGAUGCGCUCCUCUGUGACGACGAUGACGAUGACACGCUCCUUUGUGACGACGACGACAACACCACGCUCCUCUGUGACAACGAUGAUGACGGCGACGACUCAGUCCUCUGUGACUAUGAAAAUGACUCGUACCUCUGUGACGACGAGAAUGACAACGCGCUCCUCUGUGACGACGAUGACAACAACAUGCUCCUCUGUGACAACGACGAUGACGCACUCCUCUGUGACGAUGACAACGGCAACGACUCGGUCCUCUGUGAUGACGACGACAACUUGCUCCUCUGUGACGACGACGACGACGACUCGCUCCUCUGUGACAACGAUGAUGACUAGAAUGCGCUCCUCUGUGACGACGACAACGAAUCGCUCCUCUUUGACGACAACGAUGAUGACACACUCCUCUGUGACAACGACGAUGACGACGACACACUCCUCUCUGACGACGAUGACAACGAUGCGCUCCUCUGUGACAACGACGAAUAUGAUGCGCUCCUCUAUGACAACAAUGCCGACGAUGCCCUCCUCUGUGAGGACGUCAAUGACGAUGCGCUCCUUUGAGAUGACAGUGAUGACGCGCUCCUCUGUGACAAUGACGUCGAUGACGACACACUCCUCUGUGACGACGAUGACAACGACAACUCACUCUUCUGUGACGAUGACGAUGACGACGACGCGCUCCUCUGUGACAACGAUGACGACUAGAACGCACUCCUCUGUGAUGACGACGACAACAAUGAUGCGCUCUUCUGUGAGGACGACGAUGCGCUCCUCUUUGACAACGACGACGACGACUCACUACUCUGUGAUGAUGAUGACAAUGACAACGCGCUCCUCUGUGACAGCAACGACAAUGAUGUGCUCCUCUGUGAUGACGACAACGACUAUGACGCGCUCGUCUGUGACGACAACGACAACGGAUCACUCCUCUUUGACGACAACAAUGACGACACGGUCGUCUGUGAUGACGACGACGACACACUCCUCUGUGACAUCAGAGUCAACGACAACGCGCUCCUCUGUGACGAUGACGAUGAAAACGACAUGCUCCUCUGUGACUACCACGAUGACGGCGACUUGCUCCUCUGUGACGACAACGAUGACGCUCUACUCUGUGACAACGAUGAUGACGACGACGCACUCCUCUGUGACAGCGACGACGAUGGUGACACGCUCCAUCGUCACAGAGGAGUGUGUCGUCGUUGUCGUCACAGAGGAGCGCGUCAUCGUCACAGAAGAGUGCAUCAUUGUCAUCACAGAGGAGUGUGUUGUUAUCGUCGUCACAGCGGAACGCAUAAUCGUCGUAGUCAUCAUCAUCACAGAGGAGCAUCUUCAUUAUCAUCGUCGUCACUGUCACAGAGGAGUGAGUCGUAAUUGUCGUCAUCUUCACAGAGGAGCGAGUUGUUGUCAUUGUCAAAUAGGAGUGAGUCGUCAUUGUUGUCGUUGUCACAGAGGGGCGAGUUGUCAUUGUCACAGAGGACUGAGUCGUUGUCAUCAUCACAGAGGAUCGCAUCAUUGUCGUCGUCAUCACAAAGGAGCAAGUCGUCGUCGUCGUCGUUGUCAUCAUCAUCCAUCGUCGUCACAGAGGAGUGAAUCGUCGUUGACUUUGUUGUCAAAGAGGAGUGAGUUGCCGUCGUCGUUGUCGUCUCAGAGGAGUGAGUCGUCGUUGUCGUCGUUGUCACAGAGGAGCACGUCGUCAUUGUCGUCAUCGUCGUCAUAG
rnacentral:lncRNA from 1 species